rnacentral:rRNA from 1 species
AGCGCACCUUCGGGUGAGCGGCGGACGGGUUAGUAACGCGUGGGAAUAUACCCAGAUCUACGGAAUAGCCUCGGGAAACUGAGAGUAAUACCGUAUACGCCCUUCGGGGGAAAGAUUUAUCGGAUUUGGAUUAGCCCGCGUUAGAUUAGAUAGUUGGUGAGGUAACGGCUCACCAAGUCUACGAUCUAUAGCUGGUUUUAGAGGAUGAUCAGCAACACUGGGACUGAGACACGGCCCAGACUCCUACGGGAGGCAGCAGUGGGGAAUCUUGGACAAUGGGCGCAAGCCUGAUCCAGCCAUGCCGCGUGUGUGAUGAAGGCCUUAGGGUCGUAAAGCACUUUCGCCAGAGAUGAUAAUGACAGUAUCUGGUAAAGAAACCCCGGCUAACUCCGUGCCAGCAGCCGCGGUAAUACGGAGGGGGUUAGCGUUGUUCGGAAUUACUGGGCGUAAAGCGUACGUAGGCGGAUUAGAAAGUAUGGGGUGAAAUCCCAGGGCUCAACCCUGGAACUGCCUCAUAAACUCCUAGUCUAGAGUUCGAGAGAGGUGAGUGGAAUUCCGAGUGUAGAGGUGAAAUUCGUAGAUAUUCGGAGGAACACCAGUGGCGAAGGCGGCUCACUGGCUCGAUACUGACG